GCCUGGGUGGCUCAGUCGGUUAAGCGUCCGACUUCAGCUCGGAUCAUGACCUCAUGGUUCGUGGGUCAUGACCUCAUGGUUCGUGGGUUCGGGCCCCGCAUCGGGUU
rnacentral:tRNA from 1 species